UGUUUUUCUAUGGCAGGAAUCUGAAAAUCUCUCACUGUGGUAUCCACCAUUAAUCAAUGGUGCAAUGGAAAGCUCUCAUUAACUUUAACCCUCCGACCCUGACAUUAUUCUACUCAUCACAGCAAUCAUUAGCAAAAUGAAAAACAAUCAACCAGCAUAUCUACAUUCUGCUAAUAUUAAUGCUUUCACUCUAUUACACAUGAAUGUCAAAUGUGACAAAAAUCACUGAACUUCAAAUAUAUACAUAACAGAUUUUGAUAUAUAUAAAUCACCAGUUUUUGUUAUUCUCACUCAACAGCAAAAUCAAAGUUACAGUGCCAAGGGGGCCCAUACCAUUUGCAAUCUGUAGCAUUUCCAAUGUAUUUUCAACAAUAUUGUAAAUAUUUAUGGAGUUUUAUAAAGACUCUAUGAUUCCUUCUGCUUGUGAUGCAUCAACAAGACACAGUAGGAUAUCAUAGGCAGAUAUUUACUUCUGGGAAUUCCCUUUUGGACUCUUUUUGGUUGAAAACGACUUCAUGACAUACAGUACCGCAAAUCCCCAGAAAUGUACCAUGCUAUUAUUGCCAGCUGAGUUCUUCCAAGUAAAGAUGACAUCAGCCAUCUGUCAUGCUGUACUAAUCCUAGGAAAGAAAGCCAACUGAAGAGAAAAUAAGUACCUUUUCCAUCUAUUAGCCAAAUAUUUAUAUUAACAAAUGAAACUCUUAAAUUUUUACUAGCAAAGUUAAUUCCUGUAAGCAAAUUAUCUUUUUUGAGUAAACAACACAUCUGAAAUGUCUUCAUCUUUUUAUCUACCUAAACCCAGCUAUGUCACAAGCAUAUGUUUGAAGUGCUGAUCUUUUGCUACAUAUUGGUGGAUAAGAAAAUAUGAUUCCAAGCAGUGAUUUUCCUCCAGACCUGCUAGAUGAACUCUGCCAGGUACCAUGUAGCUGCGUCAAUGUUCCGGACUGCUCUGCUGAGAACAUUGAAACAGAAAAACAAGAAAAAGAAGGGAAUGCUUUUUUAUGAAUAUAUACUUAAGAUCUUAAGGUCAUAAAAGUAACAUCUGAUUUUGGGAAACAAGAGGUGAUUAGAGAAAAACUCAGGAGCUGAAUGCAUAGAUUACAUAUAUCCCUUGACACCCAAAAAGGCAGAACAUUCUUUCAUGUCUUCUGCAGAAAACAAGGGUGAGUUACAAUUCUGCAUGGUAAUUAUAGCAAAUGAAAUUACAUAACUUUUGGACUCAUUACUUCAACUAAUCAAUUUUUUUGGGGAUGAACUUCAACCUGGAUUACCACCAUUCUAUCUCCAAUGACAACACCACUGAAAAAUAAGAAGUGAUUUUAAAAAUAAUGCAUUUGUGACUUCAGCUUAUAUACUGAGUCAAGAAACCAAAGUAUUUCUAGUUAUCACAUGUCUCAAUAAGAAUAUAUCUGUCUGCUUUACAACCUGGUAAGAGCUGAAAUUUAAAAAAAAAAGGUUUAUUAUCUUGCACUAUAAGUCUUAGCAAUAAGCCAUUUCUGAACCCAAAAGACUUUAAAGGCACUUUCCUGCAAUGUAAUGUUUCUUUAUUCAGUAGAACAACUGGGGAAAAAAGCUGAACUUUUAAUAAAAGUAAAUCACAAGAAAUAAUAUUAGUUAUU
ensembl:lncRNA